ACUGACGCCUGCCCGGUGCCGGAAGGUUAAGAGGAUCCGUCAGCCUUCGGGUGAAGCGGUGAAUUCAAGCCCCGGUAAACGGCGGUGGUAACUAUAACCAUCCUAAGGUAGCGAAAUUCCUUGUCGGGUAAGUUCCGACCUGCACGAAUGGCGUAACGACUUCCCCACUGUCUCGACCAGGAGCUCGGCGAAAUUGCAGUACGAGUAAAGAUGCUCGUUAAGCGCAGAAGGACGAAAAGACCCCGGGACCUUUACUAUACCUUGGUAUUGGCAUUCGGUGUGGAUUGUGUAGCAUAGGCGGGAGGCCGAGAGGCGCGGUCGCCAGAUCGCGCGGAGCCGUAAGGUGAAAUACCGCUCUGUUCGCAUUGGAUGUCUAACCUCGAACAGUCAUCCUGUUCAGGGACAGUGCCUGGCGGGUAGUUUAACUGGGGCGGUUGCCUCCCAAAGAGUAACGGAGGCGCCCAAAGGUCCGCUCAGCCCGGUUGGCAAUCGGGUGGCGAGUGCAAGUGCACAAGCGGGCUUGACUGCGAGGACGACGGUCCGAGCAGGGACGAAAGUCGGGACUAGUGAUCCGGUGCCGGUGUACGGACGCGGCAUCGCUCAACGGAUAAAAGGUACCCCGGGGAUAACAGGCUGAUCAUUCCCAAGAGUCCAUAUCGACGGGAUGGUUUGGCACCUCGAUGUCGGCUCGUCGCAUCCUGGGGCUGGAGCAGGUCCCAAGGGUUCGGCUGUUCGCCGAUUAAAGCGGCACGCGAGCUGGGUUCAGAACGUCGUGAGACAGUUUGGUCUCUAUCCUCUGCGCUCGUUGGAAUGCUGAGGAGGCCUGCCCAUAGUACGAGAGGACCUGGGUGGACGAACCUCUGGUAUGCCGGUUGUCACGCCAGUGGCACGGCCGGUUGGCUACGUUCGGAAGGGAUAACCGCUGAAAGCAUCUAAGCGGGAAGCCUGCUCCAAGAUAAGCAUUCCGUGGAACCUUCGAGUUCCUGUAGUCCCCAUGCAGAACACGUGGUCGAUAGGCCGGACGUGGAAGCCCCGCGAGGGGUGGAGCCGACCGGUACUAACGGACGAAAGGCAACACUAA
rnacentral:rRNA from 1 species